rnacentral:rRNA from 1 species
UACAGAGGGUGCGAGCGUUGUCCGGAAUCACUGGGCGUAAAGGGCGCGUAGGUGGUGGCUUAAGCGUGCGGUGAAAGCUCGGGGCUCAACCCCGAGUCGGCCGUGCGAACUGGGCUCACUGGAGCAUAGUAGAGGCAGGUGGAAUUCCGGGUGUAGCGGUGGAAUGCGUAGAGAUCCGGAAGAACACCGGAGGCGAAGGCGGCUUGCUGGGCGUGAUCUGACGCUGAGGCGCGAAAGCGUGGGAAGCGAACAGG